UGCGGGGUAGUGUAGCCAGGCAACACAGCGGGCUCAUAACCCGAAGAUCGCGGGUUCGAAUCCCGCCCCCGCUA
rnacentral:tRNA from 1 species